rnacentral:rRNA from 1 species
AUGAGUUGUGACGAGGGCGAGAGGAGUAGCCGCCACCGCCGUCGCUCCCGCUCGUCGGCGGCGCGGCCGCUGGAGGAUGACAACCUCCUCUCUGAGAUCCUCCUCCGCCUCUCGCCGGAUCCGUCCUCCCUCCCUCGCGCCUCCCUCGUCUCCAAGCGCUGGCUCGGCCUCAUCUCUGACCCCGGCUUCUCCCGCCGCUUCCUUCUCCACCACCGCCGCGACCCUCCUCUCCUCGGUUUCUUCGACCCUUUCAAUUUCAAACCUGCAAUGGAUCCCCCCAAUCGUGUCCCGGAUGGCCGCUUCUCCUUGUGCCUCCACGGCAAGAAUGGCGACGGCAUCUUCAUGCCCUUGGGAUCCCGCCAUGGCCUCCUACUCAUCUACCAAUUAGCGCGGUACCAGCUCUUGGUGUGGGAUCCCUUCAACGUCGACCUACACCGCCUAGCCGUUCCCCCAGAGUUCGAUCGGCUCGAGGCCCCAUUCAAAGGGGCGGUUUUUCGCGCCGCCGGGGAAAUUUAA